UCCAGCAGCCAAAUAACUCUGCAACUCACAACUGGCAACCCACUGAAGCUAAGCAGGUGUGAGCCUGGUCAGUACCUGGAUGGGAGACCUCCUGGGAAAAACUAAGGUUGCUGCUGGAA
ensembl:rRNA 5S_rRNA 5S ribosomal RNA